AGCGAACGCUGGCGGCAGGCCUAACACAUGCAAGUCGAGCGGGGUUUUCGGACCUAGCGGCGGACGGGUGAGUAAUGCGUAGGAAGCUGCCCGAUAGAGGGGGAUACCAGUUGGAAACGACUGUUAAUACCGCAUAAUGUCUACGGACCAAAGUGUGGGACCUUCGGGCCACAUGCUAUCGGAUGCGCCUACGUGGGAUUAGCUAGUUGGUGAAGUAAUGGCUCACCAAGGCGACGAUCUCUAGCUGGUUUGAGAGGAUGAUCAGCCACACUGGAACUGAGACACGGUCCAGACUCCUACGGGAGGCAGCAGUGGGGAAUAUUGGACAAUGGGCGCAAGCCUGAUCCAGCCAUGCCGCGUGUGUGAAGAAGGCCUUCGGGUUGUAAAGCACUUUCAGCGAGGAGGAAGGGUGGUGUGUUAAUAGCACAUCAUUUUGACGUUACUCGCAGAAGAAGCACCGGCUAACUCUGUGCCAGCAGCCGCGGUAACAC
rnacentral:rRNA from 1 species